rnacentral:rRNA from 1 species
UUAGAGGAAGUAAAAGUCGUAACAAGGUUUCCGUAGGUGAACCUGCGGAAGGAUCAUUAAAGUUUGCUUAAUUGCAUUACACAUGUUUUUUUAGAGAACUUGCUUGCAAGAACACUAAUAAUUUACUUAGUCAACAAAUAAAAAUAUCAAAACUUUCAACAACGGAUCUCUUGGUUCUCGCAUCGAUGAAGAACGCAGCGAAAUGCGAUACGUAAUAUGAAUUGCAGAUUUUCGUGAAUCAUCGAAUCUUUGAACGCACAUUGCGCCCUGUGGUAUUCCACAGGGCAUGCCUGUUUGAGCGUCAUUUCUCCCUCAAACCUCUGGUUUGGCGUUGAGUGAUACUCGGUUUACUUGAAAAACAUGAAAAGCAUAACUAUUAGGUUUUACCAACUCGUUAUACUAAUCUACAAGUUUGACCUCAAAUCAGGUAGGACUACCCGCUGAACUUAAGCAUA